rnacentral:rRNA from 1 species
CCUACGGGCGACAGCAGUCGAGAAUCAUUCACAAUGGGGGAAACCCUGAUGGUGCGACGCCGCGUGGGGGAAUGAAGGUCUUCGGAUUGUAAACCCCUGUCAUGUGGGAGCAAAUUAAAAAGAUAGUACCACAAGAGGAAGAGACGGCUAACUCUGUGCCAACAGCCGCGGUAAUACAGAGGUCUCAAGCGUUGUUCGGAAUCACUGGGCGUAAAGCGUGCGUAGGCUGUUUCGUAAGUCGUGUGUGAAAGGCGCGGACUCAACCCGCGGACGGCACAUGAUACUGCGAGACUAGAGUAAUGGAGGGGGAACCGGAAUUCUCGGGGUAGCAGUGAAAUGCGUAGAUAUCGAGAGGAACACUCGUGGCGAAGGCGGGUUCCUGGACAUUAACUGACGCUGAGGCACGAAGGCCAGGGGAGCGAAAGGGAUUAGAUACCCGGGUAGUC